rnacentral:rRNA from 1 species
AAAUUGAAGAGUUUGAUCAUGGCUCAGAUUGAACGCUGGCGGCAGGCCUAACACAUGCAAGUCGAGCGGUAGCACAGAGAGCUUGCUCUCGGGUGACGAGCGGCGGACGGGUGAGUAAUGUCUGGGAAACUGCCUGAUGGAGGGGGAUAACUACUGGAAACGGUAGCUAAUACCGCAUAACGUCGCAAGACCAAAGUGGGGACCUUCGGGCCUCAUGCCAUCAGAUGUGCCCAGAUGGGAUUAGCUAGUAGGUGGGGUAACGGCUCACCUAGGCGACGAUCCCUAGCUGGUCUGAGGAUGACCAGCCACACUGGAACUGAGACACGGUCCAGACUCCUACGGAGGCAGCAGUGGGGAAUAUUGCACAAUGGGCGCAAGCCUGAUGCAGCCAUGCCGCGUGUGUGAAGAAGGCCUUCGGGUUGUAAAGCACUUCAGCGGGGAGGAAGGCGAUAAGGUUAAUAACCUUGUCGAUUGACGUUACCCGCAGAAGAAGCACCGGCUAACCCGUGCCAGCAGCCGCGGUAAUACGGAGGGUGCAAGCGUUAAUCGGAAUUACUGGGCGUAAGCGCACGCAGGCGGUCUGUCAAGUCGGAUGUGAAAUCCCCGGGCUUAACCGGGAACUGCAUUCGAAACUGGCAGGCUAGAGUCUUGUAGAGGGGGUAGAAUUCCGUGUAGCGGUGAAAUGCGUAGAGAUCUGAGGAAUACCGGUGGCGAAGGCGGCCCCCGACAAAGACUGACGCUCAGGUGCGAAAGCGUGGGGAGCAAACAGGAUUAGAUACCCGGUAGUCCACGCCGUAAACGAUGUCGAUUUGGAGGUUGUGCCCUUGAGGCGUGGCUUCCGGAGCUAACGCGUUAAAUCGACCGCCUCGGGAGUACGGCCGCAAGGUUAAAACUCAAAUGAAUUGACGGGGCCCGCACGCGGUGGAGCAUGUGGUUUAAUUCGAUGCAACGCGAAGAACUUACCGGUCUUGACAUCCACAGAACUUUCCAGAGAUGGAUUGGUGCCUUUCGG